UACGUAGGGGGCAAGCGUUGUCCGGAUUUAUUGGGCGUAAAGCGCGUGUAGGCGGCCAGGUAGGUCCGUUGUGAAAACUCGAGGCUCAACCUCGAGACGCCGGCGGAAACCAUCUGGCUAGAGUCCGGAAGAGGAGAGUGGAAUUCCCGGUGUAGCGGUGAAAUGCGCAGAUAUCGGGAAGAACACCCGUGGCGAAGGCGGCUCUCUGGGACGGUACUGACGCUGAGACGCGAAAGCGUGGGGAGCGAACAGG
rnacentral:rRNA from 1 species